rnacentral:lncRNA from 1 species
ACGCAUGCAUGCUUCUCCCAUUUCCUUAAAGUUGUAAAUUUGUGUUUCAACGUUAUCAACGCGUAUAGAUGAUAUUCGCCGAACAUUUAUUUUUAAUGUGUCACGAUUUUUCUAUAUUUCGUACUAUCGUUAUCAAUGUUAUUGAGAAAAAGCGAGACAUUCUAAAUCACGUACCUUUUAAAAAAAAAAAGAAAAAAAUAACGUGCGCAUAUGUCGUUCAGGUAACUUACAGAUUACAAUUAUACGACCCGUUAAAAAAUAAUCGCGUAAUACCCAACGAUCAUUUUACGAAAUGUUUUAUGUAUUUCGACUCUUUAAAAUCUAAAAAAAGAAAAAACAAAAAGCAAAACGUAAGGUCAAAUAACUUAGCGCGAAAUUACUUUUGCUCUAACAAAAAUAAAAAAAAAAAGAAUCACAAUUGUGACUAGCUAUACUAACUUUUUAACUUGCAAUCGAAUUACCCGAAUCUCAUUGUUAUUUAACAUCCUGUAAAAACCACAAUGUUGAAAAGAUAAAAAUACAUGCGUGCAGUUCGCACAUCGAUUGAGUUUCAUCGAGUUUCAAAUCACGAUUUUAAAGAUGUUUUCACU